rnacentral:ncRNA from 1 species
GGUAGCUGAAUUAGAGAUCGGCACCCUUUUUAUCUUAUAUAAUAUUAUUGGAGUUCUACUAUGUCUCUAAGCGUUGAAGCUAAAGCAAAAAUCGUUGCAGAUUUCGGUCGUGAUGC